rnacentral:rRNA from 1 species
CCUACGGGGGACAGCAGUGGGGGAUAUUGCACAAUGGGGGAAACCCUGAUGCAGCGACGCCGCGUGAGUGAAGAAGUAUUUCGGUAUGUAAAGCUCUAUCAGCAGGGAAGAAAAUGACGGUACCUGAUUAAGAAGCCCCGGCUAACUACGUGCCAGCAGCCGCGGUAAUACGUAGGUGGCAAGCGUUAUCCGGAUUUAUUGGGUGUAACGGGCGUGGAGGCGGGGAAGCAAGUCAGAUGUGAAAGCUCAGGGCUCAACCCUGGGCCUGCAGUUGAAACUGUUUGGCUUGAGUGCUGGAGGGGCAAUCGGAAUUCCGUGUGUAGCGGUGAAAUGCGUAGAUAUACGGAGGAACACCAGUGGCGAAGGCGGAUUGCUGGGCAGCAACUGACGCUGAGGCGCGAAAGCGUGGGGAGCAAACAGGAUUAGAUACCCGAGUAGUC